rnacentral:rRNA from 1 species
GACGUAGGAUGCGAGCGUUGUUCGGAAUUAUUGGGCGUAAAGCGUGCGUAGGCGGUCAUUCAAGUCUGGUGUUAAAGCUAGAGGCUCAACCUCUGUGAUGCACUGGAAACUGGAUGACUUGAGUGCGGUAGGGGAAGGUAGAAUUCCGAGUGUAGCGGUGAAAUGCGUAGAUAUUCGGAAGAAUACCGGUGGCGAAGGCGACCUUCUGGGCCGCAACUGACGCUGAGGCACGAAAGCGUGGGGAGCAAACGGG